rnacentral:rRNA from 1 species
AUUGAACGCUGGCGGCAGGCCUAACACAUGCAAGUCGAGCGAGCGGCGGACGGGUGCGUAAUGCCUGGGAAAUUGCCCAGUCGAGGGGGAUAACAGUUGGAAACGACUGCUAAUACCGCAUACCAUCAGAUGUGCCCAGAUGGGAUUAGCUUGUUGGUGGGGUAACGGCUCACCAAGGCGACGAUCCCUAGCUGGUCUGAGAGGAUGACCAGCCACACUGGAACUGAGACACGGUCCAGACUCCUACGGGAGGCAGCAGUGGGGAAUAUUGCACAAUGGGCGCAAGCCUGAUGCAGCCAUGCCGCGUGUAUGAAGAAGGCCUUCGGGUUGUAAAGUACUUUCAGCGGGGAGGCGUUACCCGCAGAAGAAGCACCGGCUAACUCCGUGCCAGCAGCCGCGGUAAUUC